GAGCCUGCGGCUUAAUUUGACUCAACACGGGGAAACUCACCAGGUCCAGACACAAUGAGGAUUGACAGAUUGAGAGCUCUUUCUUGAUUUUGUGGGUGGUGGUGCAUGGCCGUUCUUAGUUGGUGGAGUGAUUUGUCUGCUUAAUUGCGAUAACGAACGAGACCUUAACCUGCUAAAUAGCCCGUAUUGCUUUGGCAGUACGCUGGCUUCUUAGAGGGACUAUCGGCUCAAGCCGAUGGAAGUUUGAGGCAAUAACAGGU
rnacentral:rRNA from 1 species